AAGAAAGCAGUGAUGUUGAGAGAAGAGCAGCAGCUGCUGUGGCUUCAACUUUGGAAUCUGAGGAAGCAGACAAUGGAGGAGGUUACAGUGCUCGUAGCCUCAUGAAGAGUUCGAGCAUCAGUGGUUCUAAAUGCAUCGGUGUCCAAUCUAAAACCGACAAAGAGGUUAGUUAGUUAGUUAGUUAGUGGAGUUAAAAAAACAGAGGAUCUUGAAAGGAACAUGGAGAUGGAGUUUGCUUACUUACUGUUGUUUCUGUUCUGUGUUGUAGGACACCAUAGCUGAGGAAGGAGAUGAUGAAUCAGUGGCGGAGCUUACUGAUAGAGUUGCUUCUCUUCGUAAUUCUUAAAACGUU
rnacentral:lncRNA from 1 species